UGGGGAAUUUUCCGCAAUGGGCGAAAGCCUGACGGAGCAACGCCGCGUGGAUGAUGAAGUCUUUCGGGACGUAAAAUCCUUUCAGCAGGGACGAAGCGAGUGACGGUACCUGCAGAAGAAGCAUCGGCUAACUACGUGCCAGCAGCCGCGGUAAUACGUAGGAUGCGAGCGUUGUCCGGAAUUAUUGGGCGUAAAGAGAACGUAGGCGGUUUGUUAAGUUUGGGCUUAAAGACUGGGGCUCAACCCCAGGAGUGGCCUGAAAACUGACAGACUAGAGGAUGGCAGAGGAAAGUGGAAUUCCCAGUGUAGCGGUGAAAUGCGUAGAUAUUGGGAGGAACACCAGUGGCGAAAGCGACUUUCUGGGCCAUUCCUGACGCUGAGGUUCGAAAGCUCGGGGAGCAAACAG
rnacentral:rRNA from 1 species